AAAUCUUGAAUAUACUCAAACAAUUUUUUUGUCUUUUGUAGAUCUUCCAUGCUCCAUUGAAAGAUUAAGGCUUCUGCAGAUCUUCUGUGCUCCAUUGAUCUGCUGAGAAAAUUCAUAAAUAAAUAUUAGCUACUUUUAUCUAUUUUUCCUAUAAAUCUGGUAUAUACACAAACCAUUUAUUUGUUGCUUUUGCAGAAUUCGAGAGGUUCCCAUGCUCCAGAUUCAAGCCUUCAUCUGCAGAGAAAAUUUAGAAAUAAAUAUUGUACAUUGAAUUGUAUUGAGACCGUAAAUGGCCAUAAAAACUAAACAAAAUUAAAAUGAAAGUGCCACAUAAGAACAUAAAAUCUAUAAAANUAGAACAUAAAAAGAUUUGGAACAACUAAGAAAACUAAGAAUAGAUAGAGAAAUUACAACAAAUAUAGAGAGAGAAAGUCUGCGCUGUGAAAAUGCACUGUGAAAUAAUCUCAUAUUUAUAGGCUGAGUUCUUUAACCAAUUGGCUCCAAAGUGAGCAGAUUUUGAAAUUCAAAUAUAAUUUGGCCACAAUUUUUUCUAUUCUUUAUUAAUGGAACCAGCUGGAGCUAGCUGGACAGCAAUCAAAUCCAAAACUGACGGCAUUCUUAAACCCAGCGGAUAAAAUUCAGAAAGAUACAUUGGGCCAAUUGAUGUGGCUCUUGGCGGGAGGCACACUAUCCUAGAAUUCUAUGCUUUAGUAUAUGUAUAGAUUAUGUAAAACGUGAAAAGGAAGAAUGUACAAUUUUCUUGUCUUUAAUUGGAAAAAAACGCAUUAUAUAGAGUUAAUGUAUAUAAAUUUCUAUGUAACCAAUUUAUAAAGAUGC
rnacentral:lncRNA from 1 species